AGAGUUUGAUCCUGGCUCAGAAUGAACGCUGGCGGCAUGCCUAACACAUGCAAGUCGAACGAAGGCUUCGGCCUUAGUGGCGCACGGGUGCGUAACGCGUGGGAAUCUGCCCCUUGGUUCGGAACAACAGCGAGAAAUUGCUGCUAAUACCGGAUAAUGACGUAAGUCCAAAGAUUUAUCGCCUAGGGAUGAGCCCGCGUAGGAUUAGCUAGUUGGUGUGGUAAAGGCGCACCAAGGCGACGAUCCUUAGCUGGUCUGAGAGGAUGAUCAGCCACACUGGGACUGAGACACGGCCCAGACUCCUACGGGAGGCAGCAGUGGGGAAUAUUGGACAAUGGGCGAAAGCCUGAUCCAGCAAUGCCGCGUGAGUGAUGAAGGCCUUAGGGUUGUAAAGCUCUUUUACCCGGGAUGAUAAUGACAGUACCGGGAGAAUAAGCUCCGGCUAACUCCGUGCCAGCAGCCGCGGUAAUACGGAGGGAGCUAGCGUUAUUCGGAAUUACUGGGCGUAAAGCGCACGUAGGCGGCUUUGUAAGUUAGAGGUGAAAGCCUGGAGCUCAACUCCAGAAUUGCCUUUAAGACUGCAUCGCUUGAAUCCAGGAGAGGUGAGUGGAAUUCCGAGUGUAGAGGUGAAAUUCGUAGAUAUUCGGAAGAACACCAGUGGCGAAGGCGGCUCACUGGACUGGUAUUGACGCUGAGGUGGAAAGCGUGGGGAGCAAACAGGAUUAGAUACCCUAGUAGUCC
rnacentral:rRNA from 1 species